UACGAAGGGUGCAAGCGUUAAUCGGAAUUACUGGGCGUAAAGCGCGCGUAGGUGGUUCGUUAAGUUGGAUGUGAAAGCCCCGGGCUCAACCUGGGAACUGCAUCCAAAACUGGCGAGCUAGAGUACGGUAGAGGGUGGUGGAAUUUCCUGUGUAGCGGUGAAAUGCGUAGAUAUAGGAAGGAACACCAGUGGCGAAGGCGACCACCUGGACUGAUACUGACACUGAGGUGCGAAAGCGUGGGGAGCAAAC
rnacentral:rRNA from 1 species